AGCACAUGUCUGAGCUCUUCAGCUCAGAGAUAAAGUAUGGCCUAAAGUAUGGCCUAGUCUUAUAAUCCAGUUAAUAGUUUAAAAUUGCUGUUUAUUUAUUUCUUGCUGCUGUAACUGCUGUUCUGAAAAGAAAGAAAAGUACUUCAUCUGAAAUAAAACAGACAAUGUGGAGGGGAAAAAAUCAAGAAAUCCUCCUUAUUGUCAUGGAUGGCAAAAAUGGAGUGCAGCUCUGAGGAGAAAGAUCACACAAUUUUAUUGAAGCAACGAUCACUGGGUUCCAGCCUACAGAAGAAAAGGAAACAGAACACAAAGGAUAGGCCACAGACAGAAUCUGAGAUGAGAGAGGUGCCAAGACUUGGCAUUCUGACAGCAAGAACUUUGGAACAGAUUGUAAAAAUCCAGAUACAAUGGAAAUUCAUAAGCAGAGGGAAGGAAACUUCUUGCGAGAAUCAUAGAAUGUAAUGGUUGGAAGGUAUUUUGAAGAUCAUGCAGUCUAGUCCUGGCCUUGUGCAGAUCCAUUAAUUCAGCCUCCCUGACAGAUGACCAUCCAGCCUCCAUUUAAAUAUCACCAGCACAGGAGAGCCUGCCAUCUUGCAAGACAGCCUGUUCCACUCUCAAUCAGCUCCUACAAAUAGGAUUUUUUUCCUAUGUCCUACCUGAAAUCUACUUCCUUGAACUGUAAAUCCAUUGGCUCUUGUUCCAUUUUCUGGAACAACUCUGAACAAUUCUAACACAUUUUCUAUAGUAAAGCCCCUUGGAUACUUGAAGACUACCAUCAUGUCUCCCUGCAAUCUUCUCUUUCCCAGGCGACACAUACCCAAAACUUCCCACCUAUCCUCAUUUUUUUCUUCCAGCUGCUUAUUAUCUUGGUUAUUCUUCAUAACUUCUUGCAGGCUCCUACCAAACAGUGCAUUCAUUUCUAAAUGUUCACAAACCAUUGCUUAA